AGUGACAUCACAUAUAUGGCGAC
rnacentral:miRNA from 1 species